AGGCGCAUAGCUCAAGGGUAGAGCGUUGGUUUCCAAAACCAACGGUGAGGGUUCAAGUCCUUCUGUGCCU
rnacentral:tRNA from 1 species